rnacentral:lncRNA from 1 species
UCAUGAUCCUAUGGCCCCUUGUGGCCCUGUAGCUCCUCGUGGCCCUACAGCCCCUCAUGACCCUACAUCUCCUCAUGACCCUACAGCCCCUCAUGACCCUACAGUCCCUCAUGACCCUACAGUUCCUCGUGUCUCUGAAGCUCCUUGUGGACCUGUAUCUUCCUUAUGUCCUAGACAUCCUGCAUGUCCUACAGCUCCUCAUAGCCAUACAGCUCCUCAUGUCCUACAACCCUUCAAUAACUCUACAGCUCCUCAUGACCCUACAGCUCCUCGUGGCCCUACAUCUCCUCAUGACCCUAUGGCCCCUCAUGGUCCUCUAGUUCCUCAUGGCCCUAUGUCUCCCCAUGACCCUAUGGCCCCUUGUGGCCCUACAGCUCCUCAUGAUGCUCCAGCUCCUCACGACCCUAUGGCCCCUCAUGGUCCUACGGCUUCUCAUGGCCCUACAGCCACUCAUGUCCUACAGCUCCUCAUGGCCCUACAGCCACUCAUGUCCUUCAGUCACUCAUGUCCUGCAGCUCCUUGUGACACUACAGCCACUCAUGAUCCUAUGGCCCCUUGUGGCCCUGUAGCUCCUUGUGGCCCUACAGCCCCUCAUGACCCUACAUCUCCUCAUGACCCUACAGCCCCUCAUGACCCUACAGCCCCUCAUGACCCUACAGUUCCUCGUGUCUCUGAAGCUCCUUGUGGACCUGUAUCUUCCUCAUGUCCUAGACCUCCUGCAUGUCCUACAGCUCCUCAUACCUCUACAGCUCCUCAUGUCCUACAACCCUUCAAUAACUCUACAGCUCCUCAUGACCCUACAGCUCCUCGUGGCCCUACAUCUCCUCAUGACCCUAUGGCCCCUCGUGGUCCUAUAGUUCCUCAUGGCCUUAUGUCUCCCCAUGACCCUACGGCCCCUUGUGGCCCUACAGCUCCUCAUGACGCCCCAGCUCCUCAUGGCCCUGCAGCCCCUCAUGGCCCUACAGCUUCUAAUGGCCCUGCAGCUCCUCAUGACGCCCCAGCUCCUCAUGGCCCUGCAGCCCCUCAUGGCCCUACAGCUUCUAAUGGCCCUGCAGCUCCUCACGACCCUAUGGCUUCUCAUGGCCCUAUAGCUUCUCAUGACCCUACAUUUCCUCGUGACCCUACAUCUCCUCUUGGCCCUAUGGCCCCUCGUGGUUCUACAGCUCCUCAUGACCCUACAUCUCCCCCACAUCCUGCAGCUCCUCAUGGCAUCCUGAGUUCUACGUCCACCCAGGCGGCAUUAUUUAGAAGCUGCUCCCCAUGGUUCGCACCAUAACCGCUUUCCUCUUCCGUGCACAAAACACCCAUUUUCCCCUCCAACUAUUUUCAGACCGUCUCAGCAUGACAAACACAGAGCAAAUGUCACAGCGCCACCUGAAGCGAGGCGUGCAUUCCAAACCAGAAAGCUCUCUGCAGAAAGCAGAGGGGACAGAGCAGACACCAAACGCCCCCGAGCUGCGCUGCGCUCUGGGUGCAAACCAUGAAAGAGGACCUUAAACCAACCUUGCUGGCAGUGCUGGUUGGGUUUUGGGUUCUUUUUGGGAGGGAGGAUUUUGGGUGUCCCUUCUGGGGAAGCAUUGUGACUUUGCGCUGCCGCACAAAUGGGUAUGGAGGGAUCUGGGGUGCAUUUUUGAGGCCUCGUGGCUCAGAAGUGCUUUGCUGCAUCUCGAAGGGCGACGCUUUUCGCUCCUGUAAUCUCUUGUGCUCGGUGCAAUUCCCACUUCUUUCUUCGUUUUGUUUUCCACGCAGCUCAGAGAAAGGUUUGGAGCAGAA